AUGGAGAUCUUGUGUGCAUUCCUCGAUUCAGUCUCAAGCUAUAUUGUUGCCGAUGCUGAAUUACAUGAGCACACGGAAGUAUUGGUCUUCCAAGAUAUCAUCAUAAGACAAAAGUACCAGAAGAAGGGACUAGACUGUACAGAACCUACACCCUCAUGGGUCCUUGCUGCAACCAAACUCUACGACUUCGCGUAUCUGUUCAUGUCAUUGCAGAGGACUACUACUGAAGGUUGCAAGUGUGAGAGGAGACACAUGCCUCUAAAUUUGGCCUACAUCAAAGUUGUUCUUCCACCCCCAAAAUCAACAUGCAUCGAUCGGUUCAUCUCAUGGGGGGACAAGACAAGGGCGACGCAUUCAGAUAUUGCGACCAUGUGUGUCAGUAAGACAAGCAAGUAUACCCACCAAGAUCGCGGCAAGAUCGGAAAGCUAGGGCACGGAUCGCAGCGAGGAGAUGUGUACAGGAGACUAGAAAGCGAAGCGAGCAAAAGUGCAGUGGAAUCUUUGGUUGGUAAUGGACGGAACGGGCGCACACUGACCGAGCGGAGGCGCGGACUUCGCCGAGGUGGCGGUGACGGCGACCUCGCACCCUUUCCCUUCCCCCACCACCGGAGGAGGAAGGGGAGGGCGCCGUCGGAGGGGAGGGCGUACGGCCCGCGCUUGGAAGGGGACGCCAUUGACGAGGGCGCAACACAACAAACUAAGAAUGACAGCCUCUGCAUCGCCAGCGCAGACACGCCCUUCUCCCUGCCGGUGGUCACCUCGACAGGUAUUGUCAACACUUACCGGACGCGCACCACUACCGCAUCGCCUCACACCGGGAUGGUGCUCCUCAUCGUCACCUCCGAAUCCGAUGUAGCAACCGCGGUGGGGGUCGACAUCAUCGGCGCCAAGCCACCUCAGUUGGCGGGAGAGUCGAACCGCUUGUGCACGACAAAGUCACCCAACAAUGGCUUGAGGAUGAGCGAGAAGGACAUGGUAUCGGCGGUUUUAACCUCGAUGAUCACAGUGAUGGCUAAGGUAGCGGUGCCGAAGAUAAAGAGGAUGAGAAGGGACAACCGCCAGGGCUAGAGCUACGUGG
rnacentral:lncRNA from 1 species